GCAGGAUAGCCUAGUGGUUAGGGAGUUUGACUCCCAUCUGAAAGGUUCUGGGUUCAAACCCCAAUAGCCUGCA